CUAAUUCAUAACGUUAGUAAAACCUUGACUUGUGCCUGAGGGAGGACUCCUGGGCCUUGUUAGAAAAGCUAAUACAAUCCAACUGUCAUUUACCGUUGCUUCUAAGUACUAUUCUUAUCCCGUUUUAGAGACUAAUUUCCUGUUAGCAUCUGUUCCACACAUGAAAUCAGCACAUCAGGGCCAGGCCAUCAUCAUCAUCCCCACGGCCCUCCCCAGGCCCAGCUAACCAAAGAUCCUCUUCGACCAUAAGGCCAAAGUGUCGUGAACAGGCUGGAAAUCAGAUGUAAUUGCUGACAACAAAGUAAGAGAUGGAAGAAAGAACAAGACUAAUUGCAUAUAAUACAGCUUCAGUUCAGACUUGAAAUAGGAAGGAGAAUUGUGUGUUAAUUAUACUCCUAGACAACUCAGAAAGCAAGGAAACCAUAAUUGAAUUGAGAAAGAGAGAACCCAUAAAUCAAUGGAUUUUGAAGAAAUAAUCACAUAAUAAAGAGGCAGCAUGUGAUUUAGUAAUUGGAUUAAGUGCACUGAAAUGGGGCUGGGACACAAGAAUUUUCUUUCCCAUCAUGAGCUGGAGUGGAUGUGUGCUCUUGAAGACACUAAGGAGUCUCAGCUAAAAUUAGAAUUGUAAUGCCCUGUUUGCCAGGUACUUCAUUUGAAUUCCCGAGACUGUGGUUUGUAAGUGCCUCAAAUACACAAUAGACCCCGUGGUUCCCUCCUGCCCCUGGCCGGCUGAGCCCCUCCAAGGCUGUCACAGGCAGAGGGUGGAAACGCAGACUUGGAGACACACUGAUUUCAAUCCCUGAGUCUGGGAAUCUGGGUAAAUUAUGUGACCUCUCUUCACCUCGAUUUCUCCGUCUGUGAAAUGCAGCCUGUCCUCUCCCUGCCCAGAGAUGCGGGUUCCUUGUGAGCGGACAAGAGCCUGGUGGAGGUGAAAAGCCGGAGGUCGAGAUGUCCCUCAUGGGGCAAGGUCACCCGGAGGGAAGGAGGCACAUUUGAAGGGUGGUCUAGUCCAGUCUGUGGCCACGUAGGCGCCUCCCCAAACACAAUCCACAAGGAUGGCUGACGCCCCCAGAAAAACCCACAGGCCUCCAAAGGUUCAGCUGUAAGCCCUGGAGAAGACACGGCGGUGCGGGGAGAAAGGGGCAGGAGGACGGCCCAGGAUGCACGCGGCGAGGCUGACAGCAGAGUAAGGAGCGACACGUCUGCCCCCAGCCCCCUGAUCCAGAACACAGCUCCCGGAACAUCCAGGGCAGCCGGCAGCCAGGAAGAGCCGAGGGGAGCACAGUGGGGUCGGAUGCCGGGCGAUGCGGUGGGCCCGGCGUGUGGGUCUGAGUCACGGAGGCACAGCCCCCACCUCCCCCCCACCCCGCCAUGAACAGAAACAGAAGAUGGGGCUUUCCAAGCAGCGGCCACGAUUCAGACUUCACAGUGCAUGACACGAACUCUGGGAGGAAAGAAAGGUAAAUGGAAAACACACAAUAAGAUGGUAGAAACGGAGCCUUGACAGGAGAGUACCCACAAGACUCGGACUGCGUAAGUGAGGGGCAGGGGGGCAAGUGGCAGAAGUGACUCUGGAAGGAGUGAGCACACAUCCACGCAGCGCACACAGCAUCCGCGUGGGCGGAUCCCUCUGUGGGUGUCUGUCUCCACCCAGCACAGGACAGGCUGUCUCAGGACCCGCAGCUCGGAACAUGCUGGCCAGGGCCUGGGCUGAGGCCAGACUGAGAACAGGGUUCCGUGGCUGGAGCCGCCCCAGGACGACCGGCUGUGAAAGGCGCCAUCAGCAAAGAGCGCUUUCAAGGGACCCCAAGCUCCAGGAUUGAUACGACUAAACCUUUUACUGUAAGAACAAGCGGGAGCAUGUGGUGACCCACGGGAGCGGCCACGCCAGGAACACCAGGCAUUCCCGUGCCGUGGGGGCCAGGGUGGUCGUGGUCGGGAGCCCAGCCCUGCAGUGAGGUUCUGGGGGGCCGAGCGCACCGAAAACCGGCCAGGCCAGGCCAUGGACCCAGGGAGGGAAAGCCUCCCUGGAAAACCGUGGACCGAGAUCCAGGGGAAGGAGGGCCCCUCCAGGCAGCUCGUGUGUUCUCGGCACAGGCUGGGCGUCUGUCCUGGCUCUCGCUGCCCACUUACCAACAGGCCAGAUUUCUGCUAUUUCUGGAAAAAUGGGAGCGCUAAUAGCAGGCCCCCAGCCCCCAUGGCAUGGAUGACCAGAGCUGAGCCGUGGCUGCCCCUUGACAUGAACCUUGGGCCACUAGUUUGCCACUAAUUUAUCUUCUGGGCAUUUCAGUGGUGACUUCCCUUUUAAAAAGUAACAAUUUUUAACAGUGUCCUACAGUGUAGAAAAGAUGCUUGUGAAACUCGUACUUUGUAUGGUGCCUGGUAACUUUGGAAUAGUUAAUUUUUUUUUUGAAGAUUUUAUUUAUUUAUUUGAGAGAGAG